GACGAACGCUGGCGGCGUGCCUAAUACAUGCAAGUAGAACGCUGAAGAGAGGAGCUUGCUCUUCUUGGAUGAGUUGCGAACGGGUGAGUAACGCGUAGGUAACCUGCCUUGUAGCGGGGGAUAACUAUUGGAAACGAUAGCUAAUACCGCAUAACAAUGGAUGACACAUGUCAUUUAUUUGAAAGGGGCAAUUGCUCCACUACAAGAUGGACCUGCGUUGUAUUAGCUAGUAGGUGAGGUAAUGGCUCACCUAGGCGACGAUACAUAGCCGGCCUGAGAGGGUGAUCGGCCACACUGGGACUGAGACACGGCCCAGACUCCUACGGGAGGCAGCAGUAGGGAAUCUUCGGCAAUGGGGGCAACCCUGACCGAGCAACGCCGCGUGAGUGAAGAAGGUUUUCGGAUCGUAAAGCUCUGUUGUAAGUCAAGAACGGGUGUGAGAGUGGAAAGUUCACACUGUGACGGUAGCUUACCAGAAAGGGACGGCUAACUACGUG
rnacentral:rRNA from 1 species